UGCUUUUUGAAGAACAAUGAAUUGAAACACAUAAAUUUAUGGGUUUCAAUCUGUGGCCAACUGUAAUGGCGGAGGAAUCUUUGUUCAGGUGCCGAAUAUCUCUUACAAGUUGUACAUGGUGAGAUCCCUCACACGUUUUUUUGACUCAAGCUAAACGAUCUCCGCUGCUGAGAUUGUUGUUCAUGUUCUUGAUUAUCUUUACAAGAAGCUGGAUGAAGUAUGUCUUGUACAAGGUGGUGAGGUUGUGACCGUGUUCAUGAGUUUCUGUGUUUUUUUAACAUAUCUUUGUUGGUGGUCACUUUCGUAAUUGAAUUAGCGAUAAAUAUUUGGACGAGGUGGAAGGAUUUCACAUGCUGUUGCAAAUGUUUGCUGGAAGUUUAUUGCCAUAUAUAGAGGGUUCGUAUUCAUGGUAACUCUUGAUGAUCCUUUUAAGAGGUCAGUGUUAUAAACUUCACAUUAAUUACAUGGCUGCCAAUAUCAUUACCACACAGCUCUGUUUUGUUUUUUUACUCUACAUGUCUUCUCAUUAAAAAUGAGCUAUAAAAAAAGGUAA